UUCUUUCAUGGCAACUCAUAAUCAGGCCAUGUCCUAUUUGUUUCAUAGUCGAUAUAUAAUCAAAUUUCAUGACAGUGUAACGGGUAGCCUUUUUUUUACAGAAGGAUGAAAGAACACAAUAUGUCUGUCAGUGAAUGCUAUUCUGUUUUGUCAGAUGAAGAGUUAGACCAGAAAGUCAGUGCCAUUAAGGCCAGGAUGCCCCAUGUGGGCUUUAGAAUGGUCAAAGGAAGUCUCAGAGCAAUGGGCAUUCGUGUACAAUGGCGAAGAGUUAGACGGUGCAGGUAUCAUUGCCAGAAUAAUCCAGCUUCGUUGCAUUGCUCAGCAAAAAUACUCUGUUCCUACUCCCCUGUCUCUCGUCCACAUUGAUAAAUUGAUAAGGUACUAAGUUGUAUAAUGUCUCCAUCAAAUCUAAGAAGUUAUUUAAACUUUUUAUUCUUACUUAUUCGUAGACUAAUUUUCAAUGAUGUAUUAAAUUGGAGUUGUUCUUCAUCAACUGGUAAUACAUAAAUAAGGAAGCAGGUUAAUAGGUUAAACAUUUCACUUUUAAUUCCAAUGCAUUUUUUUCAAGAUACAAUAUUGUCAUCUUUGGCGGUAUAGAGGGAUUUUCAAGGAAGGUAAGUAUAUUAUGUUGUAUACAUAUUGCAUAUUUCCCAUCACCUAAUGAACAACCACAAUAGCAGUCUGGCAUUAAGCUUUCUGUGCUGUAUUAACGUAUCCUGAAAAAUCAGUUUCUUUAGAUUGAACAGUCAUAUCUCAAUUAUUGUUUUCAUAUCUACAAAAAAUAAGCUAUUUUCUUUACUUUCAGAGUGCAAACUGAUAAAGGGGUCGCAAAUGUAGAUAUUGCCAGAUGUUCACUGUCCGAGGAACAGGCCGCGGGAAGCUUUAUUGCUGGCAGAAGUGUCCAUAACCAGAGAUUAUAUCAGCUGUGUUGGUGAACCCCUCCCGCAUCUGAACUGGCUAACACAGAGGGAACAGCAUGAUCAUAGGUAUGUUUUAAUGUGAGAGAGGAAGCCAGUCCCGUCAUCGCCACCACACCCGCUCUUAAGAUAACCUUUGGGCCAACUGGGGUCCCAAGGCUGGUUAGGAGAUACUGCUAGAAACACUGUAAUUGUGAUGAACUGAGAGAAUAUCAGGGUAGCACUAUCGUUCAUGAAUCAUAUGCUGUCUACCUCUUUUCUUACCUCCUUCCUUUUCUGUCUUCUACAUCUCUCUCCCCACCUCGUCUUUCU